UUUUCGGCUGUGGUCAGUGUCAAUUCUUUUUUUUUAUUUUUACAAGUAUUGCACUUUUCACGGCCGGAAAA
rnacentral:pre_miRNA from 1 species